rnacentral:rRNA from 1 species
GAAAAGAGAGGUGCAAAGAGAACGUGAAACCCGAUAUAAUGGAAGGGGAUGGAGCCGACGUAUCUUGCGCGUAUUCAAAUCGCGCGACAUUGCAAUCGCUCCGUUGACAUUCCGCAAGGUUGUCCUCGGAGUGUUGUUGUUGUGUUCGUUGGGUGCAUUUGCGUGCGGAGUGCGCCGAGUGGAUCGAUGUCGCUGCCGGAUGGGCGUAUAGAGGACUCGUUUACGAGAAUCCUGUACGUUCGGAUAGCAGGUGAUGUUGGUUCGCUUUAUGGAGUGCGGGUGAAUUCGCGAUGGGAGUUGGUUGUGAGUUGUUGUUUCGGAUGGCACAUGUGUCUUUCGUUUCAGCGGCCUACGAUCGGCUUCCGUUGCCCCGGCACUCGACUCGGUGUGUAGUCGGUCACCCAUUCGACCCGUCUUGAAACACGGACCAAGGAGUUUAAGGUGUACGCGAGUCAUUGAGCAGCAACGAAACUCAAAGGCGCAAUGAAAGUGAGACAUUUGAUGUCGACGAUGUGAGCGUUGGGCGUUUCGACGUCCGGCGCGCAACAUCGCCCCGUGACCAGGACUUGUUCUGUUGCGGCGGUUGAGCGUACGCUUUGAGACCCGAAAGAUGGUGAACUAUUCCCGAACAGGAUGAAGCC